rnacentral:lncRNA from 1 species
CCAAGGCAGGCGGCUGCUCCUUGCCCUCGGGCCCCGCGGGGCCCGUCCGCUCCUCCAGCCGCUGCCUCCCGGGCGGCGCUCGCCGGCGCGGCGGCAAAGACUCUAUUUUUGCUGGAUUUAAAACAUUGUUUUUAUGGACAGGAUCUCGCUGCGUUGCUCAGACUGGUCUCGAACUCCUGGGCUUAAGGGAUUCUCCUGCCUCAAUCACAGCCUCCCAAGUAGCUGAGAUUAAAAGUGCUCACCACCGUGCCAGCGAGUUCAGUUUUUGAGGGUGGAGCCAAGACUCUGAGGAGAGGGCUGAACUGUGAACCUAGAAGUACCAUCUCCCCCUGCACACACCUUUGGUCAAGUUGACCCCAAGAAGAAGGACAAGUCCUCUGCACGGCGAUGAGGCCAUACACACAGUCUGUGGCCCGGCUUUGGGAGACUGAUGGGACAAAGGAUGUUUUGCACGAUCCUUGGUCUCUGAGCAAAUAUAUACAUGGGUUAACACAAAGGCUCUCUUUUUGAAAAAUGUGACUGUGAAAGUGUGCCCUCCCAGAUAUUCCAGGCAUAACACAGGAGUGACUGCAUGUUUGGGGACAGUGCGGAGGCCACUCUGAUUAGAUCAGAGGAUGUGGACUGGUUCAUGAUGUAAAAGCUGAAGGGAGGCCGGGCACAGUGGCUCACGCCUGUAAUCCUAGCACUUUGGGAGGCCAAGGUGGGUGGAUCACGAGGUCAGGAGAUCGAGACCAUCCUGGCUAACAAGGUGAAACCCCG